UGGGGAAUUUUGCACAAUGGGGGAAACCCUGAUGCAGCGACGCCGCGUGAUUUAGAAGGUCUUCGGGUUGUAAAAAUCUUUUCUAUGGGUAGAAAAUGACAGUACCAUAGGAAUAAUGACCGGCUAAUUACGUGCCAGCAGCCGCGGUAAUACGUAAGGUCCGAGCGUUGUCCGGAAUCAUUGGGCGUAAAGGGUACGUAGGCGGGUAAGCAAGUUAGAAGUGAAAUCCUAUAGCUCAACUAUAGUAAGCUUUUAAAACUGCUCAUCUUGAGGUAUGGAAGGGAAAGUGGAAUUCCUAGUGUAGCGGUGAAAUGCGCAGAUAUUAGGAGGAAUACCGGUGGCGAAGGCGACUUUCUGGCCAUAACCUGACGCUGAGGUACGAAAGCGUGGGUAGCAAACAGG
rnacentral:rRNA from 1 species